AGCAGCCGCGGUAAUUCCAGCUCCAAUAGCGUAUAUUAAAGUUGUUGCAGUUAAAAAGCUCGUAGUUGAACUUCGGGGUCUACCCAUUGGUCAGGCUUAAUUGUCUGCACUGGUGAGAUGGAUCUCUACCUUCUGAGGAACUUUCAUGCCAUUUAUUUGGUGUGGUUGGAAAUCAGGACUGUUACUUUGAAAAAAUUAGAGUGUUUAAAGCAGACUAUCGUCUGAAUACAUUAGCAUGGAAUAAUGAAAUAGGACGGACUGAUUCUAUUUCGUUGGUUUCUAGGAUCACCGUAAUGAUUAAUAGGGAUAGUUGGGGGCAUUAGUAUUCAAUUGUCAGAGGUGAAAUUCUUGGAUUUAUUGAAGACUAACUACUGCGAAAGCAUUUGCCAAGGAUGUUUUCAUUAAUCAAGAACGAAAGUUAGGGGAUCGAAGACGAUCAGAUACCGUCGUAGUCUUAACCAUAAACUAUGCCGACUAGGGAUCGGACGAAGUUAAUUUUAUAAUGACGCG
rnacentral:rRNA from 1 species